rnacentral:rRNA from 1 species
AUAAGAGGUCCAGCCUGCCCAGUGACACUGUUCAACGGCCGCGGUAACCUAACCGUGCAAAGGUAGCAUAAUCAUUUGUCCUUUAAAUGGGGACUAGCAUGAAUGGCACCACGAGGAUUAUACUGUCUCCUUUUUCCAAUCAGUGAAACUAAUCCCCCCGUGAAGAAGCGGGGAUAUACAUAUAAGACGAGAAGACCCUAUGGAGCUUUAAGCAAAACAACAUCUGCCGUAACACAUUAUAAUUUAAGAAAAAAUAACCUGUAACUAUAGCACUAUGAUUGUUAGCUUUAGGUUGGGGCGACCGCGGAGUAAAAACAAACCUCCGCAUUGAAAGGAAUAAAAUACCUAAACAAAAAGUUACAACUUUACGUAUCAAUAAAUUGACAUCAAUUGACCCAAAAUUUUGAUCAACGAAACAAGUUACCCUAGGGAUAACAGCGCAAUCUACUUCAAGAGUCCAUAUCGACAAGUGGGUUUACGACCUCGAUGUUGGAUCAGGG